rnacentral:lncRNA from 1 species
GAUCCUACCAAGACAUGGUCGAUUCAUAGCUUAGAGGGACUUUUCAAAUCAUAGAUCAUGAUCGAUUCAUCAUUUGGAGGAGUUUUUCGAAUUGUAGAUCAUGAUCGAUUCGUCGUUUAAAGGAGCUUUUCGAAUCGUAGAUCAUAAUCGAUUCAUCAUUUGGAGGAGCUUUCUGAAUCGUAGAUCAUGGUCGAUUUAUCGUUUAGAGGAGCUUUUCGAAUC